GUGGGGUUGCCAGGGCAACCUAAGUGUGAGCUGGAAGGCUUCAAGAAGUACAAAGAGACUACAGGUCACAUUACAACUUACAGAUAGCAUCACCAACUCAAUGGACAUGAAUUUGAGCAAACUCUGGGAGGUAGUGGAGGACAGAGGAGCCUGGCGUGUUGCAGUCCAUGGGGUUAAGAAGAGUCAGACACUAUUUAGUGACUAAACAACAACAACAAUUCUGUAAGGUAAGUAUAAUUUUCAUUUUACAGAUAAAGAAAUUGAGAUUCAUAAAACUUGGGAAAUGUGCUCAGAUUUCAUACAGAGAGCAAAGCUGUGAGUGGAAGUCAGGCUGUUUGAAUCUAAACUCAGGAUACUGUUUGAGAAGGUAAGAAAGUGUUUCAGUGUUUACUGGUGCAGUCAGUC
ensembl:lncRNA